rnacentral:rRNA from 1 species
CAGUAGCCGCGGGAACACGGAGGGAGCUAGCGUUGUUCGGAAUUACUGGGCGUAAAGCGCGCGUAGGCGGUUACUCAAGUCAGAGGUGAAAGCCCGGGGCUCAACCCCGGAACUGCCUUUGAAACUAGGUAACUAGAAUCUUGGAGAGGUCAGUGGAAUUCCGAGUGUAGAGGUGAAAUUCGUAGAUAUUCGGAAGAACACCAGUGGCGAAGGCGACUGACUGGACAAGUAUUGACGCUGAGGUGCGAAAGCGUGGGGAGCAAACAGGAUUAGAUACCCCCGUAGUCCCUGUCUCUUAACA